UGCCCGCCAGGGGGCGCGCGAGCCACGGCCGGCCCGCGGUGCCGCGUCCCGGUGGAGGGUACGGCCCGGCCGGGGGAGCGAGGCGUGUCCCGGUGGAAAGGACAGCCCGGCCGGGGGAGCGAGGGGAGCGGUCCCCGCCUGGCCCGGCCCGCGCUGCCGCUUUGGGGCGCUGAGGGACGGGUUGUCAUGAUGAAUGCAUCAGGACUGCAUGCAAGAGUGGCACUGCUGGCACCAUAUGCAGAGAUAACAUUGCCUUCCUAUUUCCCUUGUUUAACCAGGUUCUCAAGCUGCCCAUAUGUAAAGCCAUAGCCUGCCCUUCUGGACAUAGCACUAUAUCAAGCCUUUCAGCCAUCACUUUAGAAAUGCCUCAGAAGAGUGGCAGUGGCCAUAGUUAGCAAAGCAGUGACCUGAUUAGUGCUGGAUCAACAUGUUACCAACUCAAGGUUGUCACUACAAAGCGAGUGUGGUGAAGUCUGCCUUUCCAACUGAAAUGAAAGCAGUCUCUUGAUGAAGACCCAUGCUGAAGUCAGCAGUUUCUGCAAAGGGGGCCUAAAUGCAGGUUGAAGGAUCUCUUCUGUGUAUAUAUGUAACUACCAGUGCCAAUCUAAUUCUUUAUAAUCAAGUACUUUUUGUCAUAUUUUUACUCAGGAGGAUAAGAGAAUAAACAGUUCUAAGUGAUU